AAGUUAAAAGAUCAGAAGUUUCUGUGUGUAACCACAUUCCUUAUUGCUGUUUGGUUUAUUACAGUAAUGCUGCAAGAAGGAAUUGGCACUCAUCUAGCAUGGAGCUAUGUCAUACUGAUACUGCUUCAUAGCAUCAAUUCAAGUUUUACAUCACCAACUCAUCAUGCUUUGGAAAAAAAUGAAGUGGCAGCCAGCAAAUUUAUCACGAAACUGAAAGAUGCAUCUGAAGCUCUUUUAAACUUCUUCAGGCCAGUGACUUGCCGAUACAAAGAAAAGCACUCCUUAGUCCCUUGUCAUGUAGGAGGGAGCAUUAAUGCAACAGAAUGCUUGGAAAAUAGAUGUUGUCCUUCCAAAGGCAACCAUGAACUGAAAUGUUAUAUCCCAUUUAAAGACGAUCUGCAACUGACGUUUCGACUGUUUUUGCUUGGGGCGGUAGGAUUUUUAAUUUUGGGUUGUCUACCAUUAUGUUGCUGUGCCUGCUUGCAGAGGAGUCAAUGUGCUAAUCCUUUGCGAAGAGCAAACAAAAAAAUAGAACAAAUUGUGCAGAACAAGAGAGCAAGUAGUGAAGAAAUGCAUAGCUUGUUACCGAAUUGACUUAAAGACUUUGAGGAUCAUAAAUAUAAGAGAAAGAGGACCAUUCGUGUAAUAUUAAUGCACUCAAGCAGAAGAAAGACACCGGGAUUAUGUGCUAACCAUGAGUAUGCUCUAGAAAAUGAGAUGAUUUGUUUUAGCAUCAAAAUAAUACAGUGUUGUCAACCCUUGAUAAUGCUAUUGAUUCUGCA
rnacentral:lncRNA from 1 species